GAUGAACGCUGGCGGCGUGCCUAAUACAUGCAAGUCGAGCGAACAGACGUGGAGCUUGCUCCUCUGACGUUAGCGGCGGACGGGUGAGUAACACGUGGAUAACCUACCUAUAAGACUGGGAUAACUUCGGGAAACCGGAGCUAAUACCGGAUAAUAUAUUGAACCGCAUGGUUCAAUAGUGAAAGACGGUUUUGCUGUCACUUAUAGAUGGAUCCGCGCCGCAUUAGCUAGUUGGUAAGGUAACGGCUUACCAAGGCGACGAUGCGUAGCCGACCUGAGAGGGUGAUCGGCCACACUGGAACUGAGACACGGUCCAGACUCCUACGGGAGGCAGCAGUAGGGAAUCUUCCGCAAUGGGCGAAAGCCUGACGGAGCAACGCCGCGUGAGUGAUGAAGGUCUUCGGAUCGUAAAACUCUGUUAUUAGGGAAGAACAAAUGUGUAAGUAACUAUGCACGUCUUGACGGUACCUAAUCAGAAAGCCACGGCUAACUACGUG
rnacentral:rRNA from 1 species